CCUACGGGAGGCAGCAGUGAGGAAUAUUGGUCAAUGGCCGGAAGGCUGAACCAGCCAAGCCGCGUGAAGGACGAAGGUGCCAAGCAUUGUAAACUUCUUUUGUCAAGGGACAAAAUCAGGCUCGAGAGCCUGACCGAGGUUACUUGAAGAAAAAGCAUCGGCUAACUCCGUGCCAGCAGCCGCGGUAAUACGGAGGAUGCGAGCGUUAUCCGGAUUUAUUGGGUUUAAAGGGUGCGUAGGCGGACUGUUAAGUCAGCGGUAAAAGCCCGGGGCUCAACCCCGGGACUGCAUUGGAAACUGGCAUGCUGGAGUGCCGGAGGGGCAAGCGGAAUUCCUAGUGUAGCGGUGAAAUGCAUAGAUAUCACACAGAACACCGAUUGCGAAGGCAUCUCACGAAUCCGCGAUUGACGCUGAUGCACGAAAGCGUGGGUAUCAAACAGGAUUAGAUACCCUUGUAGUC
rnacentral:rRNA from 1 species